AAAGAUGUAAAAAUAAAGCUUCUAACUUUCAAAAAAAAAAUCAUCUUUA
rnacentral:tRNA from 1 species